CGGGGAGCGGGAGCGGGGCCGGGAUCCGCCGGGAGGGACCCGGCUGGGCGCCCGUCCCCGCCGCGGGAUCCACGGGAGAGCCGGGAGGAGCCGGCAGCCCGCUGCCCCCGGUGCGGUGCACCUGUCCGCGCCGCCGAGCAGCCCGGCUAUCCCGAAAAGCUGAAAGGGAAAAGUGCCGUGCGGGUCCUUCCCCUCCUCGCGGAUGUCUGGAACAGCCUCAGUGUCCCCUGCACCGGUGCCUCUGGCCCCCGGCUGCCGCUCCGCCCGGCCCCGGAGUCGCCGCGCUUGUGCGGUUCCCGCGGCAUCAGCACAGCUCCUUCGGCUGCACCGGUGCCUUCAGUACAGCACCGCGUUUACCGGCUUCUCCUGGAAGCCGAGUAGCAGCUGGGAUCAUUUCUUUAACUAGCAGUGUUUGUUUUAUUUCCCCAGAACGUUUUGCCGACGGGUUUCUGGUUCGUACUGGAAGCGGCGGGGGAAUCCCGGUCACGCGGCGAGGCCUUCUGCGAGUGGCCUUAGGAAGCUGGAAUUGGCCCUCAGCAAGAGACUGCCUGAGAAGCGCAAAUGAGGCUGUUUCCUAAAGGAGCCCCAGUCAUCUGAAGCAGAGUGAUAUGGGAACACGUGACAGGCUGUGAUGUGGAUGAGCAACACGGUGGUGCUGGCCAGGGAUGUCCUUAGCUGAGAUCUCAGUUUUUCUGUGGAGAGCUUCCUGAAGCUCCUGAAGGAGCAGCCUUAAACUGCCCCCACCCAAAGGGCAGCUGCCCAUAAACUGAGGAUAGGGCACAGCUGACUUAUGCUGUGGAAGACAGAGAUGUAGAGCAAUGGUUUGCUCAUGCUCUGGAUGUCCUUAUGAAUUUCAGACUGUCAAAACAGCACUUACAAAUUGUGUAUGCUUGUGUACAUGCAUAUGGCGACAAAGGGGAAGGUAGGUACAGGGACAUUUUUGUAUUUUCAUUGAAUUUGAAAUGUUGACUAAUGUAAACUGUAAUUUAAUGUCCAGUUUGAGCACCUGGACCUACCAGGUUCCUCAUAGUGGAUUUAGAGAAAUAAAGGGAUUGUACAACUGAAUGAGAGCUCUUCA
rnacentral:lncRNA from 1 species